UAGGGAAUCUUCCACAGUGGACGCAAGUCUGAUGGAGCAACGCCGCGUGAGUGAAGAAGAUCUUCGGAUCGUAAAACUCUGUUGUUAGAGAAGAACACGAGUGAGAGUAACUGUUCAUUCGAUGACGGUAUCUAACCAGCAAGUCACGGCUAACUACGUGCCAA
rnacentral:rRNA from 1 species